rnacentral:tRNA from 1 species
GAUACGUACCUGAAUAAAGGGUCACCUUGAUAGGGUGGACAAUAGAGGUUUAAAUCCCCUCGUCUCCUU